rnacentral:pre_miRNA from 1 species
GAGACACCCUUAUUGGUCAGGGCUUGCUUCAGUGGGGCUUUGGCACUCACUGAGUCUGCCCCCUGAGUGUGUCUGU